AUGAUCAGCUCUCUGGGAGAUGAUCCUGGGGAAAUAGGAAAGCCCCCUUUGGAAGUUGAAUUGUGCUUGCAAAACGUUGUUCUGUCUGUUCUUCCCCCAGUGUUUUGUCACCUGUGGAAGAUCCUGAGGAGAUCUCUGCAAAGAGGCCGAAAACAGAAUGUCUCUCUGGGGCUAACAAGGAGCCUGAAGAGGUUUCUGUGGCUGCCAAGUUGCCACAGAAGGCAACAAGUAGAAGCCAGGAGACUGAAGAGAGAGAUGACUUCUCCUUCUCUGAGUCUGAAGAUGAGGUGAGCAAGGAUUUUGAGGGGAGCUCAGGGAUCACCUCCCACAAUCCCUGCAGGUGUGGGACCCUGUGUUACUAAAGUGGUGCCAUCAGUGCCCCUGCCCUCUGCUGCAGCCCCAUGGGCAAAGCCAUGGGCUCUGAGUGAGAACACAGCUGGCUGAAUUUCAGGAAGGGGAGGUACUUGCUUGGAUUCACAUUCAGGUUAUGCUCACUCUGGUGCUUGCUUUUAUUUCAGGUUGUGUACAUUUCUUCUGACUCUUCAUUUGUAGCAUCUGCAGAGGAUGAGGCCACAACGGAACCUGGUAGGGCUGACAGCAAAUCCUUUACUUGUUCCUUUCUCCUGCUGCUCUGAGCCUGGGCAGCUCUGCCCAUGCUGGGGGCUGGUUGCUGAACGCAAAAUAUCUGGGUAGCACCCAAGAGUAGUGGAGGGUGAGCUCUGUUUCUUCCCUGCAUCCUGGUAUUGCUUCUGGAUGGGAACAGGC
rnacentral:lncRNA from 14 species